rnacentral:rRNA from 1 species
CCUACGGGCGGCAGCAGUGAGGAAUAUUGGUCAAUGGGCGAGAGCCUGAACCAGCCAAGUAGCGUGCGGGAUGACGGCCCUACGGGUCGUAAACCGCUUUUGCCCGGGAGUAACACCCUCCACUUGUGGAGCUCUGCAAGUACCGUACGAAUAAGGACCGGCUAAUUCCGUGCCAGCAGCCGCGGUAAUACGGAGGGCCCGAGCGUUAUCCGGAUUCAUUGGGCUUAAAGGGAGCGUAGGCGGACGUGCAAGUCAGCGGUAAAAUUGCGGGGCUCAACCGCGCACCGCCGUUGAAACUGGACGCCUUGAGUGCACAAGAGGCAGGCGGAAUUCGUGGUGUAGCGGUGAAAUGCAUAGAUAUCACGAGGAACCCCGAUUGCGAAGGCAGCAUGCCGGGGUGCGACUGACGCUCAGGCUCGAAGGCGUGGGUAUCAAACAGGAUUAGAUACCCGUGUAGUC